rnacentral:misc_RNA from 1 species
CGUCUAUUUGGCUCGCGAAUUUUUGGAAAGAUCUCAAAUCGAUUGGUCACGCGUAUAUACGAUAAACAUCGACGCAACGAUAAAUUCAUGAUGAGCGGAUGCUUUUAAAAAGGGCCAAGCAACAAUACUAGAUUCGAUCCGUGUCAAGGUAAGGAGCUCGGCAAAGCAAAUGUGAUUGGUCAAUUGUUCAAAAGUCCACGAUUAUUUUUGACUAUUAUUAUAGAAAUAAAAUGUUGUUUGUAAUUUCAUCGUAUCGAAAUAACACCGUAAUGGCCGCAUAACGUUAUCCUUGUGUUUUCGCAAAAAUCUAUAAACGUUUUCUCUCAUAUAUUUUACUUGUUUAUUUUAUUAAUUAUCAUAACAUUAACACUAUUGCCUAAUCGUUUAAUAGCGUACAGUGACCAUAUAAUGGAAUUACAAAAAUCGAAAUAUUAUUUUCUUAUUCGAUUCUUAUUUUCUUAUGAAUCUCAUUGAAACAUAGGUCAUUACGUAAUUAUUACUAUAACGUUUUACAUAUGUUCAUAAAUAUGAUAUAGGCAUGUAUAUAUACAUUUAUGUCACUUUCUUAAAGUAUAAAUGUGGCAGAGAUUAGGUGCUACUAGAAAUCCCAACUAGACUGUGCUCUAUGUGUUAUUCGAUCGAUAUAUUUAUUUCGUAUCUCACUCGAUCUCUGUAGGAUCGAGUUUCUUGAAUGUAAAAAAAAGGGGAAAAAAACAAGGAAACAAAAAUUGUCAAGGAAUAAUGACCCGCUCGAACGAGAUACUCGAUAGAUCGUUGAAUUCGCAUAAAUCAGAAAGGAGGUAUCUGUUCGACGUUAUCGGAAUCCAAUACGAAAGAUCAAGGGAUCGUUUUAAAGAACACUGGUGAAUCCGAUUCUCCUCCAGCAACAUAAGUGUUUAGACAGUGUGUCGAGGAAAACCGGUUAGGGAAAUAUGUAUAUGCCAACAGAUUUCGCGUUUGACUUCGAACGUAUGGAUAAAAUAGUUCACGGGAAAAAGUGAUACGACAGAGAAGAGAAGAGAAGAAAAGGAAAGAAAAAGAAAGAAAAAGAAAAAGAAAAAAAAAAGAAAAAAAGAUCGACGAACGAAUAUGGAUCGAAGUUUCAAGAACAACAUGGACUUCAAGAUGAAUCAGCAAAACUUUAAAUUAAGUGAUUUUGGCCUCGACGGUAAAUUAUCAUCCAGCGUACAUUCGAAAGUGAUUCGGAGUUCGGUAAGGACCGGUUGUUCGUGUUACUCUCAAAUCGAAUCCGUUCAAAUCCGAGGGACAUUUUCGAAUAACGGUGAUAGUGAUAGUAAUAGUCUUGCACAAAGUGGGACCAACGAACUAAACCUCUCUAGACUACCUCCAAAUGUAGGAAGAGGAGGUAUCGAUAUUUCGAUCGUUUGCAACGAUCAUUUUCGAACUUCUUCGUCGUCUUCUUCUUCUUCUUCUCCUUCUUCCGCUUCCUCCACUUCUACCUCUUCUUCUUCAUCUUCGAAUCAAGCUCGAAAGAUUGGCCAAUCAGCGAGUAACCUAUUCGUCGAUAGCUUUCAAACUUCCAAUCCAAGCAACAACAAUGCUAUUCCUUUAUCAGGAACGACUAGUUCGAUACUACAAGGAAACGUUUCUUCGAUCCCGUCGCCGAAUUAUUGGAAGCAAUAUGGCGGCCAGGAGAGCGGGUAUGGUUCGGACGAAUUCGGACAAGACUCUCCGAGAUAUACCUCGCCAAAAGCUGCGGCCCUCUAUGCGGAUCCAUAUUAUAUCGAUGGAAAUGCAGCGGGUACGGGUCCUGGUGAUCCAUGGACGGGAGGUGGCGGUGGCGUUCAACCCCCGUAUAGCGGAUACGCUCCCCCUCACCUGGCUCAACCGGCCUACCCCAUGCACCUACCCCAUGAUCCCAUGGCAUAUUCAUCGAUGUCACCGAACGGCGAACCAGCAGCGCCAAUCCUUGGUUCGGCUGUAACCAGUGCAGCUUCUCUUCCGCCGAUGUCGACAUUCCGGGGUAGCGCGGCUGUUGCGGUAGCAGCAGCGGCGAACAGUGGCACUGGAGCACCUUCUCCAGCAUCUUUGCAAUAUAGUCAUAGUCCUGGUGCACCAACCACUGCACCAUCGGCGCCAAAUGCCGCACCCACCAACAAUCAACAACCACCUACGGGGGAUACUCUUGGCAAGACUCUUGCCUCUGUAGUGAGCACAAGAAUCUAUCCCACGGACCAAUCAGUAUCGAGUUACAGCAGUAACCCAUCCACACCAGUCAGUUCGCCACCACCUUUAACGGGAUCGGCACCAAAUUGGGCACCUGGUGCUGCACCGGUAUCGCCACAUUUUACGGCAGAUCCCAACCGUGGCACUAUUCACAUGCCGGCGCCUGAACAGCAGAGGCUAGACGAUGCCAUCGGCUUCCUUCGCGACCAAGUCGAGUUGGUACAGGGAACGCGGAUGGAGGAACGAUUGGACGAUGCCAUAAAUGUUCUCAGGAACCAUGCAGAAAGCCAAUUAGGCAUUCACUUAGGACCUGUUGGUCCUCAUGGUUCUAUUUAUUCUCACACAUCACCACCGCAGUUGGAUCAUUUGACAAGUCCACAUCCUGCGGUAACGGUAGCGCAACCACCGGGUUCAUAUCCUGGUCUUACACCAACACCCGACACGGACGGUUCUAUUAAAAUAGAAAGGUUACCUGUUACAAAUGCCAAAUACAUCUCUUUAGAAAAGAGAAAAGAUCCACCGGACAGUAGCGGCGGUGAAACAAAACCUUCGAGUAGCGAAUUAGCAGCUGCUGGUGUAAUUGGUACGGCGACAGUUAAUUCGACGUCACAAGGAAAAGGAACGAAAAGGUCGCGCAGGUAUUGUUCGAGUGCUGACGAAGAUUGUGAUGAUCCUGGCACCAAAGCGGUGCGUGAAAAAGAACGUCGACAAGCCAACAACGUUCGUGAAAGUUGUUCGAGCGCUGAGGAUGAGGAUGACGACCCUGAUGUGAAAGCGCAAAGGGAGAGAGAGAGGCGACAAGCAAAUAAUGCUAGGGAAAGGAUACGUAUUAGGGACAUCAAUGAAGCUCUAAAAGAACUUGGAAGAAUGUGUAUGACACAUUUAAAGACAGACAAACCUCAAACGAAGCUUGGUAUUCUCAAUAUGGCUGUUGAAGUUAUCAUGACACUUGAACAGCAAGUUAGAGAACGAAAUCUUAAUCCAAAAGCAGCAUGUUUGAAAAGAAGAGAAGAAGAAAAAGCAGAAGAUGGACCAAAGUUACCUGGUCAUUUAGCUGCGCACAUAACACAUCCACAUCCUCACCCUCAUGCACAUUCUCAACCACCCUUUCCCGCGAUGCCUGGUCCACCACCUUCCCUUCAACACAAUCCAACGCAGCCACAGUAGCAGCGGCUCUGCGGCGGUAUCAUCCUGUGUUAAGGGGUAGAUACAUCUUAAAAUUGGCUAGUCUACAAAUAUGACUUGCAUGUACUUAUCAAAACUUUUUUCUAUCCUUAUGGGCUAAGUAUGCCAAAAUAUAAUAGUAUUAUCUCGAUUGAGAUUUAAGCUUAUCGUCCAUAUUGUUCAGUAUUUUAAUAGUGACUUAUGAUUUAACAUUAAUGGCACAUAAUUGUUUUUGUUUACUUUUGAAAUACAUAUAGCUAUGUAACAUAUAUGUAUGAAAGACCGAUCAUAUGAAACGAUCAAUGAGACAUAUGUACCAGUAAUUUAUUUCGGUUUAUUUUAUAAAAUUAUUCAUAAAAUAAAUUUUCAAACAUAAGUCAAAUAACUUAUGUUAGUCCACUAUUAUAAUUACCGGCACAUAUGUGAUCUUUUAAUAUUUUAUUUGAAGCCAUUAGAUAAGGAAAGGAAAAAGUACCGAUUGGAACUAAGGCAAGCAUAGAAUAGGUAGUCUUAAGAAGCAUCUACCCCUUUAAGGCGGCUUGAAAUUAUUUUUAUAAAUAGCAAGAAAACAAAGGAAUAUGGUUCCUCUCUUUCGAGAUAUAAAAAAUUUGUAGUAACGAUCGAGAUUUCACUAGCUCGAUUUAAGUCCCGUUGUCGGUAUAUAUAUUGACUCGCUUUUAUGACCUAAUAUAAAUUGAACUUACAGAAAAUCGUGGAAUUGACGGUGUUUAAAAUUAAUCGACUACACGGUGAUCAUUAUAGUUUUCAAUAAUAUCACUUUAAUAGAUAAUUAUUUAAAAUUUAUGGAAUGCGCUAUUUUGUAAAUUUUAAUUUUAAUGCUAAAAGCAUCAGCCCACUUUUCGGUCGCUAAAUGAACUUUCCAGAUUAUAUUUAUGCAGAGAUGAUAUUUACAAAUUUAUAUGAAAACUCAUUUAAAUUUUAAAUGAUUUGAUUUAUUGACACAACAUCAAAAGUAAUUUAUUCUUUAAAAUAAUAACGACACAUACCGAAGUGAAUACAAUUAUUGAUGUAAUGAUAGUCUGUUAUUUUCUAUUUCUUUGUUUCAAAGCUUGCAUAAUAGAGAUAUUAUUAUUUCCAAAGAAACUUGGAAAGAAUUUAUCGGCAUAUCGAUUGGAACUGUGAUAAAAUAGCAACAAAUAUUAAGGAAUGUGGACGUAUGCAACAGUUUCAACACAGUCAUUAGAUUGCUCUAGUUCCAUUAUGUUCACGAAUGUCGAUAAAGUUGCGGAUUCUGUGAUGGAAUCGUUCGAAACAGGAUUUAAUUUUAUCAGCAGAAGUGAUAAAUAUUAAAAAGCUACAUGUUUUGUGAAAAAUACACUAAAGCCAUAUAAUAUAAAAAAACUUUUCAUAUUUCAAAGAAUCUUAUUAUUGGAAGAUCCUAACAAAAUAUAUAGUCUUUGUAAAUAUGCCAUAGUGUUUCACAAUUCGACGCUUUAUGACACGAAUUAAGGUAUGAAGAAAUCAACAAUGCAUAAUGCCGAUAAUUAUGAUAGUGGACUGAAAAGGCGGACAACAAAUUUUUUAAAUUUCUUUCUCGUCCGCUGUUUUCAUUAUUAAAACGUAUGUAUCCAACACUAACUUACUAAUGAUUUGUUAAUUUAUAUGAAUAGGCGUCUAUAAAACUGUUGUCAAUGAU